rnacentral:rRNA from 1 species
GACGAACGCUGGCGGCGUGCUUAACACAUGCAAGUCGAACGGAAAGGCCUUUUCGGUGGUACUCGAGUGGCGAACGGGUGAGUAACACUUGGGUGUUCUGCCCUGCCCUCUGGGAUAAGCCUGGGUAACUGGGUCCAAUACCGGUUAGGACUGCACUUUUGUGCGUGUGGUGGCAAGUUUUUUGGGGGUAGUUUGAGCCGGCGGGCUAUCAGCUCGUUGGUGGGGUAAUGGAUUACCAAGGCGGCGACGGGUAGCCGGACUGUGGGGUUGGUCGGCGACAUUGGGACCUAGGGGCGGCCGAGGUUGCGAAGGGAGGGAGCAGGGGGGAAGAUUGCACGAGGGGCGCAAGGCGGGUGCAGCGAGUCCGCGUGGCGGAUGACGGCCUUAGGGUUGAAGAAUACUUGCGCCAGGGACGAAGCGUUUUGUGACGGUACCUGAAGAAGAAGCACCGGCUAACUACGUG